AUACCUAAUCAGUAUGCCUCAAAACUCAAAAGAUCAAAACCAAGCAACGUCUGUAUAAUUCUCACAGCCAAGAGAAGCCUGAGGAGACUGGACAACUAAAUGUGACAUGGUUUUUCCUGGGUGGGAUCCUGGAACAGAAAAAGGACAUCGGGGAGUCAGAUGUGGCAGCAUACACCUACAAUCCCAGCAAUUCAGGAAGCUGAGCAGGAGGAGCCCAAGUUUGAGAGCACUCUGGGCAACUUAGUGAGACCCUAUCUGAAAAUAAAUAAAAAUGUCUGGGAGUGCAGCUCAGUGGUAAAGAACCACUGGGUUCAAUCCUCAGCAUCAGCAAUUUAAAAAAAGCUAGGCAUGGUGAUGCAAGCCUGUAAUCCCAGCAGCUUGGAGCCUUAGGAGGAUCACGAGUUCAAAGCCAGUCUCAACAACAGCGAGGCACCAAGCAACUCAGUGAGACCCUGUCUCUAAAUAAAAUAUAAAAUAGGGCUCAGGAUGUGGCUCUCAGUGGUCACAUCUUCUGUAACCAAAAAAACCACUGGGGGGAAAUUUAAGGAAAUCAGAAUAAAGUAUAGACUUAAUAAUUAACAAUGAUGUAUUAAUAUUUGUGUUUUAAAUGCAAUAAAUAUACCAUACCAAGGUAAGAUGUUAAUAAUAAGUGAAACUGGUGCCUGGUAUCUGGGAAUUCUUUGUACUAUCUUCUUGAUUUUUCUGUAAGUAUAAAAUUGUUUUGAAAAAUAAAGUCUAUUAAAAAUGUAUGUGUGGGCUGGGGCUGUAGCUCAGUGGUAGAGCCUUUGCCUCACAGAGGUAAGGCACUGGGUUCUAUCCUCAGAACCACAUAAACAAAUAAAAAAUAAAGACUUCACUCUCUCCUCCAAAGUACUUCUUAAAAAUGGACGUAUCUAAAGAUAGGAAGUUUAGGGACAAAAUGAUACUACUUAGAGUUGGAAUUAAGUGUAUCUUAUCACCUUUUGUAUUAAAACAGAAGUGAGGGGUAAAGUAUGACAAUACCACAGUACAUUCACCAGUUAUGUCAGAAAGUCCCGAUGACUCUCAUGUAGGAGACUAAAAUAUUCCACAUAAAUUAUAAAUCCCUCAUUAAUUAUACAUUUGCAUUUAACUACUGGUGGCAAAGGAAUAUUCUUUACCUUGUUUAGAUAAUGUAUAACUGAAUAGGGAAGCUCAUUUUCACCCAUUUUACUCACUUUAGACUUGAAAGGUUUUAUUCCUGCUAGUCUCCUAAGACCUCCUGUCAAGCUGAAAUAUACAACUUUUUUCAUUCUUGAUCUUAGCAUUUGUAAGGGAUAAAUAAUUGAUUAGCAUAGGAAUUCUGGGAAUAUAUUUAGCUUUUGCUCAGCACUAAACUAUUUUUAAAUGUCCUUAGGCAUCAACCCAGAAUGUACAUCUGAAGGAUGUCAAUUGGAAAUUGGGAAGUGAAGCGACAGCUUGGAUUAGAAGUCUGAAGCGUGAAGUGCAGAGGGAGGAAGAGCAGCUGCCAGUUUCCCUGCCGCUCAACCGCCCGUCCACCUUGCCGCGCUCCUCCAGUCUCAUACACGUCCCUCUGGUUAACACUACGCCCUCUUUGAGGGCAGAAUCUUUCCUUCUACAGAAUGUGGUUGUGAGUUUCUCUUCACCCUUCAAAAAUGAGUUGAAGAAAAAGAAGAAUUAAAAACAUUUUUUUAUUUUAUUGUGAUGAGAUCAUUUAACAUGAGAUCUACCCUCUUCAUAAAAUUUAAGUGUUGUGUUCAGUGUUGUUAACAUUGGGACAAUGUCGUACAGCAAGUCUCAGCAAGAACUUAUUAUCUGACAUGAUUGAGACUCUGUGCCUAUAAAUUGUCAACUCCCUGUCUCACCCACACCUGAACGACCCAUUCCACCCUCUGAAUCCUCGGAUGUGUCUGUUUUAUUUACCUCGUGUGAGUGGAAUCAUGCAGCACUUGACCUUCUGUGACUGGCUCUUUCACUCACCCUAAGUCUUCCAGUUUCAUUCACGUCAAACACGGCAGAUUCCUUUCUUUUUUUCUCCUUUUGGUACUGGGGAUUGAACCUAGGGUGUUGAGCUUGGCUCUACCACUGAGCUAUACUCCCAGCUCAUUUAAAAAAAUUUUUCUUUUGAGACAGGGACUGACCAAGUUUCCGAGACAUUCUAUCCUCUUGCCUCUGCCUCCCAAAUCACUGGGAUUACAGGUGUGGGCCGCUUCACCCAGCUAGAUCUCCCUCUUUUUAAAGCCUGAAUGAUAUUCAUUUUAUGAAUAUAUCACACUUUCUUUACCCAUUCAUCUACUGAUGGAUAUUUAGGUUGUUUCCACAUCUUGGCUGUUGUGAAUAAUGCUACAAUAUUCUAAUAUCUUUUUGAGAUCCUGAUUUCAGUUUUUGAAGUGGGACGGUUGGAUUAUUUUGUAAAUUUGUUUUUAAUUUUUUGAAGAACCUCACACUGUUUUCCAUAGCAGCUGUACUAUUCCACAUUUGCACAAACAGUGUGCAAGACUCUGAUUUAUCUUCAUCCUUGCCAAUGCCAGCACUCCCAAUUUGGCUUUUCUUAAUAGUCACCCUAACAGGUGUGAGGUGACAACUCCUGUGGCUUUGAUUUUCACUUCCGUGAUGAUCAGUGAUGCGAGUAUCUUUCCAUAUACUUGUUAGUCAUCUAUAUAUCUUCUUUGGAGAAAUGUUUAUUCAAGUAUUUAGCCCAUUUAAAAAAAAAGCGUUGGGGCUGGCGAUGUGGCUCAAGUGGUAGUGCGCUUGCCUAGCAUGCAUGAGGCACUGGGUUCGAUUCUCAGCACCACAUAAAAAAAUAAAAUAAAGAUAUUGUGUCCACCUAAAACUAAAAAAUA
rnacentral:lncRNA from 1 species